AGAGAAACCCUGUCUCAAAAAACAAAAAAACAAACAAAAUUACUUUUAGUAGGUUUAUUUUGUUUUUUGAGAUGGCUUUUUUUU
ensembl:miRNA Mir706 microRNA 706